CAUCCACACCGUCACUCUCUCUCUUCUCUCCCCCUCUCUCUCACCUGCCGCCACCUCCCACACCACCACCAUCCCGGCGAUCUGCUCCUCCGUCUUCUCCGGCGACAUCACCGUCGCUCCGGCGACAUCACCGUCUCCUCCGUCUUCUCCGGCAACAUCACCGUCUCCUCCGUCUUCUCCUGCGACAUAACCGUCUCCUCCGUUCCAGUGGAGGUGGUGGGUUUAAUGGUGUUUGUUGCUGGUUUGGGUUGUUGUAGGUUGGGGUUAGGGUUCUAGUGGGGGUGGUGAUGGUGGAGACGGUGGUGGGUGAAGGAGAGAGAGAGAGAAUCGAUGGUGGUGGGUGGGUUGUGUGGGUGGUUUUGGUGGAAGCAAAGAAGUCAUUUCCUCACACUUGAUGUAUACUCUUCACAUAAAGGUUGUCUUCCGGUCACUUUGACAUAAUAAUUUUGCCCUAUAAAUACUUCCAAAACUGCAUUCUCUAUGUACACUGACGACUCAAACUUUAAAAUCAGAGACGGUGGUGGGUGAACAGGGCCUGAUGAACAAUUUUGAUUGCUUAUUAUAUGCAAAAAAAAAAAAAAAAAUUUAUGAUUGUAAAAUUUGAAUUUAUUCUUAUAACAAUGGAAGUUCUUAUUUUUUUCAAUUUCAUUAGUUUGACCACAUGAAUCAAGCUUGUUAAUUUUGGUUUUGCAGACGAUUGAUGGUGGGCUUGUAAAUAUUUGGGGGAGAAGUGAUGAGAGAGGGAAUAGAGAGAGAAGGGAGAGUUUUUUAUUUUUCAAUGUUUUACAUAUAGUCCCUAAGUAAUAAUUUAUUACAAAAUAACCCCUAGGAGGCAAAAUGACAAAACUGCCCUCAUGUGCAAGGCACAUGACCAACUUUAACAAAAAAAUCUAACUGAGUUUGGCUUAAAGGACAUAACGUGCAGGAUUUUGAAACGUUAAGGACAAAACUCGUCAAUUUUAAAGACAAAGGACAGCGCCUGAAAUUUGAGACAAACAUAAAGGACAAAACUUGUAAUUUACUCUAUUUUUUUAUCAUAACUAUGAUAGUGUUUUUCUUUAUUUGGUUAACUCGAUGCAUCUUUUUUUAUAUUGUGUUACAAGUAGCAUGUAUAACUAACCGAAAUAAAUGUGUACAUAAUAUUAAACUAAGAAAUAUUUGGUUUAUCGUCCCGCAAUGCGG
rnacentral:lncRNA from 1 species